rnacentral:lncRNA from 1 species
UACAGGACAGAAUAUUGUUUCGUUCACGACGUAAAAACAUCAUCAUUUGUACUGAUUAUAACAGUGUCAUGAACAUCAAUUUAUCAGACCACAAACCUGUUUACGGAGUGUUUGAAGUUUCGCUGAGACCCGGAAGGGACACGAUGGCAUUGGCUGCUGGAAAAUUCAACCGAGAAGUUUAUAUUGAAGCAAACCGUCGUCGAGCUGAAAACCAGUUUGGUCAACCAGUGAAUGACAAGUCCAGUUCCGUCUGUGCUAUACAGUAAUUCUCUGGAGAAGCAACAUUCUCUACCAAACUGUAUUGAACCGUAAUUGAACCAAUCAUGACGUGAAAGUUUCCAACUCCGGGUAUAUUUAAUCUGACCAGUAACACACACACCUUAAGUUAUUAGAUAAAAAAAGAAAAAAAAAAAAAAAAAAAAAAGACAUUCAUUUCGUCAUCUCACAAAAUGUAUUUCUUUCACUAUUUUGUAAUUGUCUGUUAAAGGGGUGGAAGGAUGGACAGUGGUGAUGGUAGGAGGGGAAAUUUUGACUCCUGAAGAAAGAAGAAGAAAAAAUAAUUUUUCAAAAAAUU